UACUCUUUGUUACUUUUUUUUGCUCUUCUUGUUUUUUUUUGUUUGCUUUGUGUCAAAAAAAUCUUGUCAAGUUUUUUUGCCUUUUAUUUCUUGACGAAUUUUAUACGUGCGUGCACUAUUUUCAGCAAAUAUCGCAUAGUUUUGGGGCGAUUUUACAUGGACUUUUUUUGGAACACAAAUAUUUUACAAAAAAAAAACGCCUUAAAAAGUGACAAAAUAUAUUUUUGAAAAGUUUAAAACACCGUGAAGUGAAAAAUGUAUUAAAUACGGAAUUAAAGUGAAGAAAAUAAUCUUGACAAGGUGACAAAAUCACACAAAGGUUAUAUACAGUUUUUUUUAUUCCGUUUUGCGAGCGUGUGAGUUUGUGUGUUUUUGCAUUUUAAUAGAAAGAGAGAGGAGGGUAUGACAAAAAGGAAGCAAAAGUAAAAAAGAAAUUAACAUACCAGACAAAUAAUGUAAUAAAAUAAUUUAAUAAAAGAUAAAUUUAUUUAUAAAAAAAGUGAUAACAACAUUUUUAAGAAUCUUCUUCAUUCCAAGUUUAUUAGUGUGACCAUAAUUAAGUUGUUGUUGUUGUUGUAAAAGGUGCUUCACUCAGUUUGCUGUUUGUUACUUUUAUAUUAUUGCUGUUGCUUUUGCAGACAACGGAAAUCACAACAACUACAAAAAUAUUAUAACUAAAAUAACCAAGAUUUCCCACAAUUUAUUUAUAAUAAAAAAAAAACUACUAAACAACAACUUUUAAACAAAAAAAAAAAAACUUGUUUAAAAUCUUAAAAAAA